GUUCUUUCUCAGGGACUGUGGGAGCAGGUGUUCUAAAAGGAAGGAUGAAGAUAGCAGUUGCAGUGGGAUGGGCAAUGAGACCCUGGGCUCAGGGAAGUCACUGAGGGUUAAUGUGGCCGGGCAGCCAACGUCACAGCACACGAGGCCCCUGCCACAUCUUACCCACACAUUUCAAGAUCCUGUAUCGCCACAGUGUGUCAUUACUUUGAGACCAUGGACUACUUUCUCAAUUCUUCAGCAGAGAGGUUUUUUCCAAAGCACACAAAUGCUAGUGGUGGAGCUGGUUUAAGGCCAAGAAUCCUCAACUGACAAAGAGCUCAGUAAGCCCUGGGUAGGAUAAAAAAUGCAGGUGUGUCUUGCCCUAAAACAUCUCAGGAUGAAAGAACUCGUUGGAAGUGCCUCUCCAUCCAGAUUUUGUCUAAAGCGUUUAAAGGCGGCUCUCUUUCAACAAUUAAGCUGGUGUGGGAUGGAAGAGCUUUCCUGCAGUUAGGGAAAAACCUUCUCCCUCUUCCUCUUUCCCAGUUCCAGUUGCUUUUGAGUGACAGGCUAACCUGAGCCCUGAAGCCAGAUUCAGAAUUACUAUGGCUUUGAAUUUGAUCUCUUAUUGUUCUAUACUGAAAGAGCAAUAUUCUUUUUGAGAAAGCCUCUCCUAAUUCACCAGUUCCAGAAGGCUGCCUGCUUCCCUGGCCACAGGGGUAGGCUUGGCUGUUACCUUCCCAAAUGGAAAAUGAGGGUGUAGAUUUCAUUGCCCAUUACUGCCCACUUCUCCUGAUCUACCUUUGAUGAUACCAGAGUGGAUUACAUUAUUUGGACUGUCCUGAGUCUACAAAGAAGAGAAACAGAAGAGGGAAGCCUGGUGUAAAACUCUUUCAUUCCAUUCUUGUCUGUCUUUAUCUGCUCCAACUGUGAGGGCUGCUUACCCUAGAAGCAGAUCAAUGCAGAGAUGGACACAUUUGCAGCACCUACAAAGGGUGAGAAAAGACAGGGGAUUCCCAGGCACCGGAAGAAUGAGGAAAACAGUGACCUUUGUUCCCAGGCUACAGAAAAAUGCUGUAUCUAAACUGACAUCGGCCGGCUGGAUGGCAUUUAGAAGCCAAAUGAACUGCUGUUAAGCGGCGAGGUCAGGGGUUCAGCUAAUUGUGGAACCACGGGCACUCCCCACAGACCCAGAAAUCUUUGUAAUCUAUGGCUUAGGGACAUACAUUGUGAAGGUGAUUUUUACAGUUCAUCUUUGAAAAUAGAAAGACGCGGGAAGCUCUGGCUGCUACACAUACUGAUAGUAGCCUUGCCUGGUGUCUUAGAAACAUCUGUGAAAUAUAGCUUUCUGGCUUAAAUAAUAAAAGGAGAUAGAAAGAUAAAAAGAAAUUACAACAAAUACAGUGAAUGAACCAGCCUUGAUAAGGUACCUGCAGAAAACGACCUUAUUUUCUCUCUCCAAUGCAUUAGAAUCCAUGUUGUAAUUUUGUACAUUCUGCAACGCUGGAUGAAAAAUCAGGCAAAUCAAAUAACUUUAUCGCUAUUGGUAAUAAAAAGUCUUCUAGGUUGUUUAAAAUCCAAGAUGAGUCUCCUGGAAAUCAAGCAUUUCAAUAAAUAAAAUGGCCAAGGCAAUGUAGGCAUCAAAACAGAAAGCUUUAUCUAAAGCCAAAGUUCUUUUCCUCUUCUGUUCUGUGCCUGCCUGAGGCUCAAGAUCCGUGACUGGAGAUUCUUUCCUCCUCCUGCUGCCUCGUGAUAUUGAUUCUGGCUUCCCUGGGGCUGGAGCUGAGGGGAAGGAGAUAUGGGAAGGGACCAGAAAGUCCUCGUUGGCGGGCACAGCUGUAAUGAGACAUGGGGUGUAGAGAUGACCAGUUCUACAUCUCUCCCUUCCGG
rnacentral:lncRNA from 1 species